AUGGAGUACGUGGCGGUGGCGCGGUCUCUGACUCCGAUGAGCCGCAGGACUCGCCAUGCUCACCGCCUCCAGCUCGUCGCCGAUCCUCCUCUGCAGGCUCCUCCUCCUCCUCCUCUUCCUCCUCCGUUGCAGCCAACGACGGCGGGCAUCGGCAUCGGCAACGGCGUACAUGUGCAGCAACAACAACACAGCCAGAGGCGCAUGGAUCUUGAGCAAGGGCCAACGACGGCAGGCAUCGGCAACGGAAACCACAACGGCGUGCAGGUGCAGCAACAACAGAGCCAGAGGCGCAUGGAUCUUGAGCAAGAGGUGGCGGAGCUGAAGCAGCAGCUGAGCAACGAGCAGAUGGUGCACCACAUCCUCGAGCGCGCCCUGCACGCCCCGACAAAUUCAUCAACCUCGGCGCGCUCCGUGCUCCUCAACAUCCCGGCAUUCAUCCCGGCCAAGGCCAAACAGCUGCUCGCCGAGCUCGUGCUCGUCGAGGAGGAGAUCGUGCGCCUCGAGUCGCAGAUCCAUACCAUGAAGGGAAGCCUGAACCUCUCGCAGCAACAACGAGCAUCGGUUGCAAUGGCCUCCAACACGUGCUCGUACCCGCCAAGUGUCCACACCGACAACGGCAAUGGCAACCCGCCAAGCAUCUACACUAACAAUAGCAGUGGCAAUGGUCGAGUCAGCAAUGGAGGAGCAGCUACACGCACCACGGCGCACUCGGCUCCGGCAUCGGCUCGUCAUGGCAACAACAAUGUCAACGGAGGAGCUACGCCUACGACAGGUAACGGCACGCCAACGCACACAGCGCCGACGUUGGUUCGUCAAGCCUCGGGUCAGGUGGCGCCGGAGAUAAAGUCCAUGUUCUUCAUCAGCCAGGCCAUGAACGCCGAGUACCUCCAGCGCCACCUCGCCGCCACGGCCACCGACGACAAGCCGGCCAAGAGCCCCAGAGAGCAGGCGAGAGGCUCCUCUGGAUCCGCCGCCGUCAGCCCGAAGCUCAACGGUAACAUCUUUGGCCUCCCGCCAAGAAACUCCCUUGAAAAGCAAUCGGAGCGAGCACCCCAAAAACCUCCGAGAGUCUCCCAAGAAGCAUCGCCUCCGGCACUGGCGCCGGCGAAGAGGGACGAGCAGAGCAAGGCCCAGCUGCCGAACAAGCUGUCGGAGCGGAUCGUGAAGUGCCUGGCGGUGAUCUUCAUCAGGCUGCUCCGGUCGUCGCGGGUGGCGGAGAUGGAGAAGUCCGGCAACCUAGCCAGGUCCGGGAACCUGCAGGGGAGCUUCCGGAUCGACGCGGUUCUGAACGUGGCGGCGGCCAAGGAGAAGGAUCAGAGGGGGAAGCAGGACCACUACGGCAUCUUCGCGGUGCCGGACUCGGUGGUCCGGGACAUCGGCCCCUACAAGAACCUCGUCAGGUUCACGUCGAGUGCUUUCGAUCUCAGAGGGUUCUCCAGCUCCACUCUCCUCACCAAGCUGAGGGAGAUGUUGGAGGCCUUGCAGCAGGUGGAUUUGAGGUUUCUGACGCACCAGCAGAAGCUAGCGUUUUGGCUCAACAUUUACAACACAUGCAUCAUGCACGGAAUCCUGCAGCAUGGUUUGCCCUCAAACUCUGAAAAGUUGCUGGCACUGAAGAACAAGGCAACCAUCAAUGUUUCAGGGCAGAAGUUCAAUGCUCUGGUGAUUGAAAAUUUCGUCUUGAGGCAGCCAUCCAGUGUGAAAGAAGAAUUCUGGAAGUGCGAUGUCGAUGUCGAAGAGCAGCAGGUGAGGGGUCUCUAUGGAUUGAACAGUUCGGAGCCAAACAUUCUGUUCGCGAUGUGCUGCGGCACCAGAUCUUCGCCAGCACUGAGGAUAUACAAGGCGGACCGCGUGAUGAUGGAUCUGGAGAAGGCGAAGCUGGACUACCUGCAAGCAUCGCUGGUGGUGACCUCGACGAGGAGGCUGAUGAUCCCGGGCCUGAUACACUCCAACAUGCACGACUUCGCCAAGAACAUGGAGUCGCUGCUCCGGUGGAUCUGCGACCAGCUCCCCACAUCUUGGUCGCUCAGGAAAUCCAUGGUGGACUGCCUCAGGGGACACCAGGGCCACCUCAAGGUUGAAGACGUCGUGGAGGUGAUCCAAUAUGAUUAUGAGUUUCAGUACCUGUUGCCCAUGUGA
rnacentral:rRNA from 1 species